rnacentral:rRNA from 1 species
AACGAACGCUGGCGGCAGGCCUAACACAUGCAAGUCGAACGCACCUUCGGGUGAGUGGCGCACGGGUGAGUAACACGUGGGAAUGUACCCUUUGGUUCGGAAUAACGUCUGGAAACGGACGCUAAUACCGGAUGAGCCCUGCGGGGGAAAGAUUUAUGGCCAAAGGAGCAGCCCGCGUCUGAUUAGCUAGUUGGUGGGGUAACGGCCUACCAAGGCGACGAUCAGUAGCUGGUCUGAGAGGAUGAUCAGCCACACUGGGACUGAGACACGGCCCAGACUCCUACGGGAGGCAGCAGUGGGGAAUAUUGGACAAUGGGCGCAAGCCUGAUCCAGCCAUGCCGCGUGAGUGAUGAAGGCCUUCGGGUUGUAAAGCUCUUUCGCACGCGACGAUGAUGACGGUAGCGUGAGAAGAAGCCCCGGCUAACUUCGUGCCAGCAGCCGCGGUAAUAC